rnacentral:rRNA from 1 species
CUACGGGACGCUCCAGUGGGGAAUAUUGGACAAUGGGGGAAACCCUGAUCCAGCAAUGCCGCGUGUGUGAAGAAGGCCUUAGGGUUGUAAAGCACUUUCAGUAGUGAGGAAAAGUUUAAGGCUAAUACCCUUGAACCCUGACGUUAACUACAGAAGAAGCACCGGCUAACUUCGUGCCAGCAGCCGCGGUGAAUACGAAGGGUGCAAGCGUUAAUCGGAUUUACUGGGCGUAAAGCGCGCGUAGGCGGUUUGAUAAGUCGGAUGUGAAAGCCCCGGGCUCAACCUGGGAAUUGCAUUCGAUACUGUCAGGCUAGAGUAUGGUAGAGGGAAGUGGAAUUCCACAUGUAGCGGUGAAAUGCGUAGAUAUGUGGAGGAACACCAGUGGCGAAGGCGACUUCCUGGCCCAAUACUGACGCUGAGGUGCGAAAGCGUGGGGAGCAAACAGGAUUAGAUACCCUCGUAGUC